CCGAGGGUAGCUCAGGGGUAGAGCGGAAGACUGUAGUGGAUUAGACAUCUUUAGGUCGCUGGUUCAAAUCCGGCUCCUCGGA
rnacentral:tRNA from 9 species